rnacentral:rRNA from 1 species
AGCAGCCGCGGUAAUUCCAGCUCCAAUAGCGUAUAUUAAAGUUGUUGCAGUUAAAAAGCUCGUAGUUGAAUUUCGGGGUUAGUAGGUUGGUCAUGCCUCUGGUAUGUACUGGUCUCACUGAUUCCUCCUUCCUGAUGAACCGUAAUGCCAUUAAUUUGGUGUUGCGGGGAAUUUGGACUGUUACUUUGAAAAAUUAGAGUGUUUAAAGCAAGCUAACGCUUGAAUACAUUAGCAUGGAAUAAUGAAAUAGGACGUUCGAUCCUAUUUUGUUGGUUUCUAGGAUUUGACGUAAUGAUUAAUAGGGAUAGUUGGGGGCAUUAGUAUUCAAUUGUCAGAGGUGAAAUUCUUGGAUUUAUUGAAGACUAACUACUGCGAAAGCAUUUGCCAAGGAU